AUACCGGGCCUUUUUGGGCUUGGUAAUUGGAAUGAGGGAGAGUUAAACGGACCAUCGAGUAUCCAUUGGAGGGCAAGUCUGGUGCCAGCAGCUGCGGUAAUACCAGCUCCAAUAGCGUAUAUUAAAGUUGUUGCAGUUAAAAAGCUCGUAGUUGGACUUGUGUGCGCUGUCCGCGGGUGGCCUGCGCCCAAAAGGGCGUUUCGGUUCGGCCCCGGUGGCGCCUUGAAAUCUGCAGCUGGGGGGACGUUGGCCUUAACUGGUCGGCGACCGCACGCCGGCUGCUCGGUUACUGUGAGAAAAUUAGAGUGUUCAAGGCAGGCAUUGGGUGCAAUUGAAUACAUUAGCAUGGAAUAAUAAAAUAUGGCUCCUGCCGUAUUUUGUUGGUUUUGACUGGUGGGAGUAAUGAUUGAUAGGGACGGUUGGGUGCUAGUAUUGAGCGGCCAGAGGUGAAAUUCAUGGAUUCGCUCAAGACUAACUUAUGCGAAAGCAUUCACCAAGGACGUCCUCUUUAAUCAAGAACGAAAGUUGGGGGAUCGAAGACGAUCAGAUACCGUCGUAGUCUCAACCAUAAACUAUGUCGACUUGGGAUCGGCGGUAGUUUUUUCAUUAAGACACUGUCGGGACCACGGGAGAAAUCAAAGUGUCUGGACUCUGGGGGAAGUAUGGUCGCAAGGCUGAAACUUGAAGGAAUUGACGGAAGGGCACCACCAGGAGUGGAGCCUGCGGCUUAAUUUGACUCAACACGGGGAAACUUACCAGGUCCAGAGAUGUAGAGGAUUGACAGAUUGAAGCUCUUUCUUGAUCACUUCGGUGGUGGUGCAUGGCCGUUCUUAGUUGGUGGAGUGAUUUGUCUGGUUAAUUCCGUUAACGAACGAGACCUCAGCCUGCUAGUGUAGUCGGCUGGAUUGCCUUUGGCGAUCCGUGAUUUCGACUUCUUAGAGGGACAAUCGACGCGCAGUCGAUGGAAGUUUGAGGCAAUAACAGGUCUGUGAUGCCCUUAGAUGUUCUGGGCCGCACGCGCGCUACACUGCUGGGCUCAGCGAGUUUUACUUGGCCGAGAGGCCCGGUUAAUCUUGUGAAAUCCCAGCGUGCUUGGGCUCGCCUCCUGCAACUGGAGGCGCCAACGAGGAAUUCCUAGUAGACGCAGGUCAUCAACCUGCAUCGAUUACGUCCCUGCCCUUUGUACACACCGCCCGUCGUUCCAUAAGAGUGAGGCAUCCGGUGAAUUCUCGGGAGAGCCUGGGCGUGGCCAGCAAUGGUUUGCUCGGGUUUGAACUUGCAUAAACUUGG
rnacentral:rRNA from 1 species